GAUCAAAUUCAAAUUCGCGUAGCACUCUAGAAUCUUUGCUGAGUUUGCUCCUUUUCAACUGCAGUCACCAGUGACUUCAACCGUCACUUUUCUGUCAUGCCUCUGACUGAAUGUGUAGCUGCUAAGCUGUACAAACUCUGCCGUCAUCAUAUCCCAGGUGGUGUGUUGUGAGGACUGCUGCCCUAAGAACACUGAGUGCAUUCUGGAAUAUUCCAAAUGUGUGCCACGUCCAAGCUCGCAAGAGAGUUCACUCACCAGGUGGCAGCAGUGCGGUGAAGGCAGAGUGGCAGCAGAGCUGGCCUAAACAAAAUAGUCUUCAGUCCUUGGAACCGCACCUGGCUCUUUGGCCCCAAGAACAAACCUUCCGUCAUAGGUGCCUCUGAUAGUGCAUCACUCACAAGAAUGGUAACAAGAAUGCACUUAAAGA